GAGCCAUUAGCUCAGUCGGUAGAGCACUUGACUUUUAAUCAAGGUGUCACUGGUUCAAUCCCAGUAUGGCUCACCA
rnacentral:tRNA from 1 species